rnacentral:rRNA from 1 species
GUGUCAGCAGCCGCGGUAAUACGUAGGGGGCAAGCGUUGUCCGGAUUUAUUGGGCGUAAAGAGCGUGUAGGCGGCCUGAUAGGUCGGUUGUGAAAACUGGAGGCUUAACCUUCAGACGUCGGCCGAAACCAUCUGGCUAGAGUCCGGAAGAGGAGAGUGGAAUUCCUGGUGUAGCGGUGAAAUGCGCAGAUAUCAGGAAGAACACCCGUGGCUAAGGCGGCUCUCUAGUACGGUACUGACGCUGAGACGCGAAAGCGUGGGGAGCGAACAGGAUUAGAUACCCUGGUAGUCC